rnacentral:ncRNA from 2 species
UUGAGCCGGAUGCGCCGAAAGGUGCACGUCCGGUUCUGAGGGGGGCUCCCCCGCAGCAAUGCGGGGGGCCUACCCGAC